GUCUGUGUUUACUAAGAAGACAUCAUGGCGAAGCCCGAAGCCGAGUUUCUUAAAAUGGAGAUAUUUUCAGUAUUUCUUUUGUCGACCACAAAGAAAAUAACAUUUUAGUUGAAUGUAAGUUGUGUCUUGGAUCAAAGAUCCUAUCCUAGCAAUUCAAAUAUGCUGAAACCGCUACAAAAACAACAUGCUUCGACGAAGCUAGUAAAGAGACACACUUCACCUCCACCUCCAACAGCGGCUGGAUUUUAACGAGGCACUGCACACUGAAGCAAUCUGCCUUUGUCCCCGUGUGAUCGAGCUGUGCGCCUCAACUUCCCUUUUGGACUUUGGACUGCCACCCUCGAUCCUCGACCCCUCGCAUGGACACAGACUCUGACGCCUCUCUCUCGCCCUGGAUCAUCUGCCUGCCCCACAGUCCGGACUGCCUUCCUGCCUUGUUCCUCCUCGCCCAACACAUCACGUGUGAGUACCUGGUGGUCCAGCUAUUUCUACUGGCAGUCAAUCUUGUGCUGUGUCAGAGAUGGAAGGAGUCCACGCAGACGAUGACGAAUUGCUGGAAACUCGUUGCGGAUUCUGUGCAUGAAACACAGCAGGAAUUAACUGCUGAGUGUUACCGGGAGUGUUGAGCGAGAGGCGGAAGUCCAAGAGGGGCAAGCCAAGCUCGGAGGUCCAGAGAACAGGCAGGAAGUCGGGGGCAAUAGAGAGGCGUCGAAGGUCCGUGUCCAGGCGGGAGGUCGAGAUCCAAGAAGCAGCCAGAGAACCAGAGGGAAUACGGGGAGACGAGACACACAGCUCGUGACGCGGGAACGGAGGAAUGCUGCUGGAAGACGACAAGGAAAACACGAGACGAGUGAACGCGGCGGGGGAGAAAACACAGAGAGAGCAUAGAGCGAGAUACAAUUUGCUUACUGUACGUGAACAAGUGUUUACGUUCUGGCCCAGAAUAGCAGGUUGCGCUGGCUUAAGAAGGCAGCUCUUCUCAUCAGUGACAGGUGUGUUGAUUGCUGAUGAUUGAAUGCAGCUGCUUGCUGCAGCCGGCGUGGCGCAGCGCACUGAUGAAUGUGCACUGGUGUGCACCCGGCCCGUUACAUAUAAGAUAGAAAAAUAUAUACAUUAUAAUUUUAAAAAAGUACAACGCUAAUUUCCCCCCCCUUGCUUUUCAGAAGAUUUGUUUUCCACGGUAAUGUUCACCAAAAGUUUUGCCCGUUUUUUGUUUACUAUCUGAAAUAUCGUAUGGCCAAACAUUGCUCCUAACAAUCGAGUCCAUUUGCCCGUGUAUUAUUCCACCUAAUGCCAUAACAAAGAAUGCCACGCACUCCUGUCACGUUAUUAAUACCCUGCGUGAAAAAAAUGUGCCUGUGUGAGCCUGCUCUCAACUUCCCACCCAGAAGUCAUUCUCCUCCAGCUCUGUCGCCCUUCUAUGACAGGGGUUCUUGACCUUUUUGACCUCGGAGCCCAACUUUUCUACUACAGAGGGGCCCGAGGCCCACUCAAAUGUUAACACUGAAUUAGUAAUCUUACUUUUGAUUUUAAUUGUGUCUGUCUAUCUGUGUUGGCCCUGCGAUGAGGUGGCGACUUGUCCAGGGUGUACCCCGCCUUCCGCCUGUGUGCAGCUGGGAUAGGCUCCAGCACCCCCGCGACCCCACAAGGAACAAGCGGUAGAAAAUGGAUGGAUAGGAUGUAUUCAACCAAUAUAACUGACCCACUUACAGUUUAACAGGAUAAAUCUUGUCAAAUGAUAUGAGAGCAUGUGUUGAUCACAUAGAUCAUCAUUAUCAAGGCUUAGGUCAGGGUAAUUACAAAUAAAAAAUAAUAAUCAAAUAUACUGCAAAAGAAGGGACACAUAAAAACUAAAAAAGAUUACAUACAAAUAAUUAGAGCUAAAAUAAAUUAAUACUAACUAAAUUAAUAAUAAAGAACAAUAGUAAUAAUAUGAAUGUUUCUUAACUAAAUGUCAAUAAAAUUAAAGUCCAAAUGAAAAUAGUUUCACCACUUUAGUCAUAAUUUUUGCACUUAAGAAACUUCUCUAUCACUUUUGCUUCAGACUUCUUCUGUUUUUUUAUAUUGCCAUUACUGCCUCAAGUGGUGGUAUAAUGUAUUACAACUAAAUGUGCCACUGCAGCCAAUACAAACCACAGCUGAGAAACUGAUAUUUGUUGGCGGCCCAGUAGGGGGCGGUUGCUGCCCAACAAUGGGCCCCCCAAUGGUUAAGAAACACUGCUCGACAGCAUCAUCACUCAUUGACUCUGUGUUUGUUUGCUAACAAAUACUGUUCCUUUGUUUGCUUUCAAUACAAUACCGAUACUAAUCUACUUUGAUAUAUGCACAAAUAUAGUAUAUACUUUUAUGUAUAUGUGGAAUGUUAGAAAAGGUUUGAUCAAGUGAAAUUAUGUCUGCCCCGCAGGAUGGAUUUUGAGGAUCAGUCAUAGACAAUUUAGAGUGAAAAGCAAAUUUUAUUUUCACUCGUAAACAAAACAUUCUAACUUGUGUUGUUUCCCUGGCUUCGAGACUCUCCCUUAGGGAUGAUGGACGGAUGGGCAGCGCCUGAAGAGCUGCAGCCUGCCACCGUGGGCCCCACUCCCUCCCCUCUGUUGCUAGUCUCGAGAUGUAUGUUGUAAUAUGUAUAUGUGCUUUGCUAUGAAGGGGUUUUCCCUUUCCAGACUGGGCCCCUUUGGGAGCCCUGUCUAGAUUGUAUUUUUUUAUCCAUCCUUCCCCAGCGUUUACCUUUUUCCCAUCGUUUGCGGGGCACCUUGUGGCGACCCAUCAGCGUUCCUGUUCUGUAACCCUGUACACUGUUUUUUUGUCUAAUCUUGAACGGGAAUUUGCUUAUAAACAAAGUUUUG